rnacentral:rRNA from 1 species
CCCUUAGAUGUCCUGGGCCGCACGCGCGUUACACUGAUGCAUUCAACGAGCUUAAAACCUUGGCCGAGAGGCCUGGGCAAUCUUGUUAACGUGCAUCGUGAUAGGGAUAGAUUAUUGAAAUUAUUAAUCUUGAACGAGGAAUUCCUAGUAAACGCAGAUCAUCAAUCUGCAUUGAUUACGUCCCUGCCCUUUGUACACACCGCCCGUCGCACCUACCGAUUGGAUGGUCCGGUGAAGCCUCGGGAUUGUGGUUCUUGCCGCUUUAUUGUGGCGUGACCGCGAGAACUUGUCUAAACCUUAUCAUCUAGAGGAAGGUGAAGUCGUAACA